rnacentral:tRNA from 2 species
AUUAGCUCAGUUGGUAGAGCAUCUGACUUUUAAUCAGAGGGUCACAGGUUCGAGCCCUGUAU